GGACGUCUGGAUGAUGCCACAGUGCCAUCAUGUGGUGGAAGGUCAUUGAGCAGAUCUGCCGGAUGCUUGGGAAGGAAAGGAUAUUCAUGUUCUUCUUUCCAGAGUGGGACCAUAUAAAUUAUAUUUCUGGGACAUUGCAAAGAUUGGUCCUAAGAUGGAACUAGAAAGUGAGCACUGGCGAUAUAACACCAAACAAGGAUGCAAAGCAGCUGUCAUCGAUUCCUUUGCCAUGACAGCAAUUUGGGAUAGAAAACUAUCCAGACUGCAAAUGGAUCCAAUGAAGUAUGACGUCAUUGUGGGGGUUAUCAACAAGAACCAUCACUGGAUUCUGACAGUUCUGUAUCCACAUGAGAAGAGAUGCCUGUUUUUGGAUCCUUUGGGAGAAACAGCAACUAAUCAGAAAAGAUGCGAGGAGACAACAAGGUAAAUUUGGCUCUCUGGUGCCUUACUGAAAACCAAAAGCUGAUUAUCAUAUGACAGCAUUUUCACGAGUGUUUCACUUUGUAUUCAUUUGUCAGAGCCUUUAUGCGGAAGAAGGGGCCACAACAUUUCAAGGUGGUCAUGCAGCACCCUGCCUCAUUCUCUCCAGCAAGACACAGUAUCUUGUGGUGUCCUGGCAUUAAUGGUUAGUACAGUUUUUAAAGUUUUUUUUUGUUAUUCAGUGCUUCUAAGUUCUACCAAUCAAACUUCUCUUCAGUUUGCAGAAAAAAUUCUGAUCGGUGAAACUUUAAGUUUUGACACCACCGAGGAAGAGGUAAACAAAAUGAGGCUGGACAUAGCCACCACCCUCCUCUGGGAAUCUGAUUUGCUGCGACCGUUGUAAACGGUGGUUUCAUGUAAGCUGUGUCCAGCAUCCUCCAGUGGACCAGGAGUACCUGUGCCCAGCAUGCAGCUGAUUAGUGUGCAAUGCAGCCGCCAUCCACCAUCAAGACUGUAGAAACUUGUAAAUAGCAUGAGCACUUUAAAAAAAAAACAUUUAUAAUAACUGCACUUUAUUGUUUUGUUGCUUGGAGUAUGUAACUUUUUUUCCUUAAUUAAUUUUGUGUUAACUGUUUAAUGAUUUGUAAAAAAAAAAAAAGUGUUAAUUUAAUUACUGUACAAAAUGUGUUUCUUACAAUGCUAAUAUUGUUAAUUUUAUUGAUCUUAACAACAAAGUUAUUGGAAAAGCAUUUUUUUUUUUUUUUUUUUCUGUGUAUUUCUUUUAUUUAGUUCAUAUGGAGUAAAUUCCAAUCACAGUUGUAACUGCAGAGGGGGGGGGGCAUUCUGUGGCACAGCAGUCUGCCAUGAAAUGCCCCCCACCUAGAUUUUUUUCCUUACAGCUCAGCUCAAAAUAAUUUCUGUAGCAUCAAUGAGAAAGAGAUAUGAGUAACUGGUGCAAGUUUGGUGUCUGUAAGAUACUCCCAGACAGAGUUAGGCGGGGGGGGGCAUUCUGUGGCUCAGCAGCCUGCCAUAAAAUUAAUCGCCGUUUUGUAUCAAAAGACGACAGAAAAUCAGAAAUAUUUACGCCAAAUGAGUUCAGCAAAGUGUGCGAAACAUAAUUCAAGUAAAUCAAUUGCCUGAAGGUGACAAAAGUAUUUGCAGAAUCGAGCGUUGGCCAAAAGGAAAAGCAGUACCGUAGCGUUCAAAUGAAGUUUUCACAGUCACAUUUGUAACGACAUACAGGUUUUCGUUAAUAAGAAAAACACCACUACAAACAAGUAAUUUGGGUAUUCUUAAAGCAAGAAAAAAGUGACAGUGAGCGGCAGCUUCUGUUGCGCUGGAGAAGUGACUACGCCUUUAAAAAGAGCGAUGACGUCAAGGGAG
ensembl:lncRNA uncharacterized protein C12orf81-like